AUGACGCAUAGAUCUCUCUUAAGAUCUCCCAAAUACCAGCUUGGUUUUAUUCAAAGAAGUUUCCAAAAAGUUUUUCAGAUUAAGUCGCAAUACCCCCGUUAAAAAGUGGAACAUAACCACACCGACAGCCCGACCAAUGGAGAGAGCGAGGGGCAGAGAAAGAAGAAGGGCUAGGGAAGGAGUGAAUAGUGGAGAAGCAUUGCCAAAAUAGAUAAUAGCGAAAGAGAAGAAAAAAAAGCGAAACGAGACAGCACAAUGGGAAUACCCUAGGAUUACAUUACAG